rnacentral:rRNA from 1 species
GAUGAACGCUGGCGGCGUGCCUAAUACAUGCAAGUAGAACGCUGAAGGAGGGGCUUGCUCUGCUGGAUGAGUUGCGAACGGGUGAGUAACGCGUAGGUAACCUGCCUGGUAGCGGGGGAUAACUAUUGGAAACGAUAGCUAAUACCGCAUGACAACAGCUAUUGCAUGAUAACUGUUUAAAAGGGGCAACUGCUCCACUACCAGAUGGACCUGCGUAGUAUUAGCUAGUUGGUGAGGUAACGGAUCACCAAGGCGACGAUACAUAGCCGACCUGAGAGGGGGAUCGGCCACACUGGGACUGCGACACCGCCCACACUCCUUCGGGAUGCAGCAGUACGCAAUCUUCGGCCAGGGACGGGAGUCUUUCCGCGCAACGCCGCGGGAGGGUAGAAGGUUGUCGGAUCGUAAAGCUCUGUUGUAAGAGAAGAACGAGUGUGAGAGUGGAAAGUUCACACUGUGACGUUAUCUUACCAGAAAGGUACGGCUAACUACGUG